UACAGUUUGCAACUGCACAUGGGGACAUAUUUAUUCUGUGAUUCGUUGUCAUUAAAGACUGUUGCUGAAAGGAUUCAUGCUGUUGCACAAAUUAUUGAACCAGCUGAGGGGACACUGGUUACCAUCAAGUACGCAGGUGGAGGAAGCAAGAGGAAGAGGUUCUUCCUCUCUCAACCUUCUCAGGUACAGUACAACAAGAUAAUAUCCUCUUUCUCUCUGGAAAAGUCUUGGACCUCAUUAAACUUGUUAAUAUGCAAUUUUCUCAAUGCUUAUAGGACAUAGUAAUAUUCGUUGGGGCCCCUGAUACUGUCAUCCGCCAGUUACACACGUGCCCAGGCAGGAACAGUGGAGGACAGUGGGAUUGUUAAAGAUGCGGUUUUCUUCACUAUUUGGCUGGCUGAGGAUCAGGUGGAGGUGACUACUUUCACAUUUAGACGGAUUCAACAAUCUGACAUCAUAAGUACUAGUGCUCCUUCAUGCUUCAUAUCUGAAAAAAAUAACAUAGGGCAGUGGUUGUCAAACCUCAGGGACACCUUGCCGUUACAUGUAUUUUAUAUAUUACAGAAUUACUACAAUAGAUUAAACUUAUCAGCUACUAAUCAAGGCCAAUACUUGGUGAAUUUGUUUAGCUAUUUCUGGGCUACUACUACAUUGUGAAACAUAUGGGGGUUGCAGAGAAGUUUGAGAACCACUGAAAAGAAUUGUGGUUUUUCAGGAAAAUAAACCAACACAAAACUAAGCAGCCUCAAAAGUGUCUACACCCACCAGGUCCCAACCUGCCUCACAAGUGUCUACACCAACCAGGUCCCCACCUGCCUCACAAGUGUCUACACCCACCAGGUCCCCACCUGCCUCACAAGUGUCUACACCCACCUGCCUCACCAGUGUCUACACCCACCAGGUCUCCACCUGCCUCACAAGUGUCUACACUCACCAGGUCCCCACCUGCCUUGGCAUCCACUGAUGAAGAGUAUGCUUGAUAUUAACCAUUCAAAAGUUCUGAAUAAUUGCGAGAUCUAUGUUUUGGUUUAAUAAUGUUUGCUUUUAUGUUUUUAUUUUAAAGAAAUUCUCUGAAGACAUUGCUCUUCAGGCUGGCUAAAAAAGUGGACAGAGAACACACCCCAUUUGCCAAUAUGGUAAAUGUUUCUCAGAGCCAGGUCCUGCCAUCCUCGACGCCACCUGCAAGCUAAACAUAGUGUUUGUAGACACAAAUGUAUGGGGAGGAAUCCAUCUGGUGGUGUACCACUUCAAGAGCUUGCCUGCCUUCUCCUAAAGGAGAUCAGAAAUAGUUGCUUGUUCACUGGGCAAGAGGACUCCAAAUCCCUGGAGCUGAACAGAGAUGCAAGCGAGACUGGCCAAUACCAGACUUUGGGGGCAAUGGUGGCAGUCUGUCUGGUGCAAGCUGGAGCAGCAUCACCAUUCUUGAGUGAACGGAUAUUCCGUUUGCUGGCACUACUGCCUAACCCCCCGCCUGGACUGAAGGACAUUAUGGAGGAUACCUUCUGAGACGCACUCAAAAAGAUUUACAGAACUGCUGAAGACCCUUGACCUUCUAGAAUGUCUGAGGGCACACCCACACAUGCUUCGUGAGCUUUUUGUGGCUGGUGUCACAAAGCCAUUGACAUCUGAAGAGCUGUUCCUACCAAACUCUCCCCGGCGGGUACUAACAGCAGGAGACAGGAGGAACUAGUUCUAAUCUGCUGGAGGUCUUCCUCUUAGAGAUCGAUUGACCCGGGGCACCAGUUACAUGUGGAAUGGUCCUCCAAUUUGUGUCAGGAGCAGAAGAAAUACCCCCACUUUCCUUCGACACACAGCCAACAUUAGAGUUCCUGCCUGAACACAAGGUCUACCCUGAGGCAAACACUUGCGAGUUGUGAUGCGUUUACCCAUUCACCAGAAUUACGAACAAUUCAAGAAGUUCAUGGUGGAAGCCAUAAUUCAAGCCCCAGCAUUUGGCUUUACUUAGAUCGAUAGGUGUCAUGCCUUAAGGAUAAUGGAUAACAUACAUUCUAAAGUGUAUUUACCAAUUCAACAAUGUUAUCUCUUUGAGAUCAUGUCCAUUUUUGAUGUAGAAUAUUUUAAUACAAAAAGACAAUUGAAAUGUUAGGUUGAUGGAUACAAUUUAGCUGUUAUGCUGUGGGUUCAGUUGAGAUGUUUAUAUGAAAUGUGCUUUUCUUUAAAACAGCAAGUUGUGGAUUAGAUGGGCACCCUCAAUAUUGUCUUUCACAAUUCAGAGACUUAACAGUGCUCAAGGUAUUUUGCGAAACUGACUCUGCAGUCAAUUUGACUUUGUUCAGCACUUUCAUUUGUGUAAAAUGUUCUGGGAGGGAAAACCAGGAGCUGAGACAAACCGCUGGUGGGCUUGAACAAACAAGACGAACUGGCAACAGACACAGAAAGUACAGGCAUAAAUACACAGGGGAUAAUGGGGAAGAUGGGUGACACCUGGAGGGGGUGGAGACCAGGACAGGUGAAACAGAUCAAGGCGUGACAGAGUGGUGAUGCAUUUGUUUUAUGAUGAAAGUAUACAUUAUUUUUUAUUGUGAAAAGCACAGCAAAA